rnacentral:rRNA from 1 species
UGGGGAAUUUUGGACAAUGGGCGCAAGCCUGAUCCAGCCAUGCCGCGUGCAGGAUGAAGGCCCUCGGGUUGUAAACUGCUUUUGUACGGAACGAAAAGCCUCUUUCUAAUAAAGAGGGGUGAUGACGGUACCGUAAGAAUAAGCACCGGCUAACUACGUGCCAGCAGCCGCGGUAAUACGUAGGGUGCGAGCGUUAAUCGGAAUUACUGGGCGUAAAGCGUACGUAGGCGGAUGCGCAAGUUGGGGGUGAAAUCCCGGGGCUUAACCUCGGAAUUGCCCGCAAAACUGCACGUCUUGAGACCGAGAGAGGUAAGGGGAAUUCCUAGUGUAGAGGUGAAAUUCGUAGAUAUUAGGAAGAACACCAGUGGCGAAGGCGCCUUACUGGCUCGGUACUGACGCUGAGGUACGAAAGCGUGGGGAGCAGACA